rnacentral:rRNA from 1 species
UACGGGGGGGGCAAGCGUUGUUCGGAAUUACUGGGCGUAAAGGGCGCGUAGGCGGCCUACUAAGUCGGACGUGAAAUCCCUCGGCUCAACCGGGGAACUGCGUCCGAUACUGGUGGGCUUGAAUCCGGGAGAGGGAUGUGGAAUUCCAGGUGUAGCGGUGAAAUGCGCAGAUAUCAGGAAGAACACCCGUGGCGAAGGCGGCUCUCUGGGACGGUACUGACGCUGAGACGCGAAAGCGUGGGGAGCGAACAGG